rnacentral:lncRNA from 1 species
UCUAAUAUCACCUUUGAUGAGUGAUAUUAGGAAAAAAGACAUUGCUGUGAUUUCCAAUUAACUCUGAAUGAAAAAUGCAAACAAACAAAAGGCUGUAUGAAUAUAAACUUUUUUUUUAUUAUUUUUCAAUUUUACUCCCAAUAAUUCCACUUAGAAGUCUCUGCACUGACCAGGGAUCAGAUUUCAGGUUGUUUGCUGAAUGUUUCCAUAGUAACCAGUUAGACUUAGUUGUUAAGUUAGACACUGUGUUUAUGUGCACUGGUGAAAGCGUUCAGUCAACCCAGCAUCUCAAAAUGGUAGAAGAGAAACAGCAUUUUUCUGUGAGCAGCGGUGGUAAAUGGUUUGCUCAUGCAGAUGUUUCUGAAAGCGAAGCAAUGGGAAGAGAAACUUGUACAACCACUGGACUCAUGCUGAGUCAGCUCGGGACAUCACCUCAGGGCUUGAGCUUGGAGCGGUUUCCUAAAUGGAAAACUCAUCAGAAAUCUAGAGAGUUUCCACACUCUCGCCAUGACAACAAGCAUGCUUUAAAGGACGACAUCACAAUCUUCUCUGAUGGUGUGGGACUGAGGAAAUGUCCUGAUAAUCUCAGACAGCAUAAUUCCCAUUUCUGCCUCCGUGACAGUGGAGCUGAGACCCAGGUCAGCCACAGUAUCUACAAAACAGACUUCACGUCAACGGAGGUCAGCGAUGUUCCAGAGAGAAGUAGGCGGUUCCCUCGAAAUCACAAACAGAAGUCAGCAGAGGCAGCAAAAGCUCAGGCAGGAGAGCAGUUCAUGUGGUUCGAACAACACAACGUGCACUGUCCAGACUCUCUGGAAAUGCUGGCAUCUGCCAGAAGAUCAGCACCUUCAAAGAUCAGAAAUAUUUGA